GAAAUAUUUGAUGCUAUUAUUGCAAGCUUAAAUUGGAUACAUAUUUUGCUUAUACUGGCAUCAGUGUUUGGUCAUAUCCUAGGGUUUGAUGUUGGUUUCGACGGCAGAUUGAGAAGCUUGGAGGUUUAUGAAUACAGUUAAUGGUCAGGUGCACCAUCUCCGACCCAAGUGAAGACGGAAACUUUAGUUCUUCUUAAAGUAAAUGGUCAGACGAAUGACCUUUUCAGAAAAAAAUACCAAUAAUUUAAGUAGAGAAGUUCGAUAUAUAUCAAUUAGAUAAAUCUGUCUUUCCUUUCUUCCAAGUCUCCACUCACAUUUUGUUAGUAGUUUAUGAUUUAUUUAUUCGUUCCACGACAACGUAUAUAAAACAGUGCAAUUAGUGCUGUUAAGGUUGAAUUUUGGCAUUGGUCUCUUCAGGCAGUGAAAUCAAAUGAAAGGUUAUCUGAGAGGAUGCCAGGAGCAGAGAAUAAGUGAGAAUAUUAAUUGUGAGAAGUAAAAUAAUUCAGACGAUCAUGCUCAUUAUUAUCUAUUUUCUUUUUCCUUUUCUUUUUUUUUUUCCCGGCCCGUAGAAAUAUUUGUCUAAG
rnacentral:lncRNA from 1 species